AUUGAACGCUGGCGGCAUGCUUUACACAUGCAAGUCGAACGGCAGCACGGGGGCUUGCUCCUGGUGGCGAGUGGCGAACGGGUGAGUAAUGCAUCGGAACGUACCCAGUAGUGGGGGAUAGCCCGGCGAAAGCCGGAUUAAUACCGCAUAUUUCCUGAGGGAGAAAGCGGGGGACCUUCGGGCCUCGCGCUACUGGAGCGGCUGAUGUCGGAUUAGCUAGUUGGUGAGGUAAAGGCUCACCAAGGCGACGAUCCGUAGCUGGUCUGAGAGGAUGAUCAGCCACACUGGGACUGAGACACGGCCCAGACUCCUACGGGAGGCAGCAGUGGGGAAUUUUGGACAAUGGGCGCAAGCCUGAUCCAGCCAUGCCGCGUGCGGGAAGAAGGCCUCGG
rnacentral:rRNA from 1 species